rnacentral:rRNA from 1 species
UUUAGCAGCCAUAUCACCCUGCAGCCCAAGACUGGUUGCCCACUGAAGCUAAGCAGGGUAGAGCCUGGUUAGUACCUGGAUGGGAGACCUCCUGGGAAAACUAGGUUGCUGCUGGAA